AAUCAACGCUGGCGGCGUGCCUCAGACAUGCAAGUCGAACGAUUAAAGCUCUCUUCGGAGAGUGCAUAGAGUGGCGCACGGGUGAGUAACACGUAAGUAAUCUACCCUCGAGUGGGGAAUAACGUCCGGAAACGGGCGCUAAUACCGCAUAAUGCAGCGGCAUCACAAGAAGACCGUUGUUAACGAUUUAUCGCUUGAGGAGGAGCUUGCGGCAGAUGAGCUAGUUGGUAAGGUAACGGCUUACCAAGGGUACGAUCUGUAACCGGUCUUAGAGGACGGUCGGUCACACUGACACUGAAUAACGGGUCAGACUCCUACGGGAGGCAGCAGUCGGGAAUUUUGGGCAAUGGGAGAAAGCCUGACCCAGCAACGCCGCGUGAAGGAUGAAGUAUUUCGGUAUGUAAACUUCGAGAGAAUAGGAAGAAUUAAUGACGGUACUAUUUAUAAGGUCCGGCUAACUACGUGCCAGCCGCCGCGGUAA
rnacentral:rRNA from 1 species